rnacentral:tRNA from 4 species
GGGGCCAUAGCUCAGUUGGGAGAGCGCCUGCUUUGCAAGCAGGAGGUCGCCGGUUCGAUCCCGGCUGGCUCCA